rnacentral:lncRNA from 1 species
AUGAUGCAAAAGGCGAUUCGCAGCACAGUGACCAGAAAGCCGUGUUCAAGGUCAGCCCCGCCAAGCAAUGGGAAGCGAGAGCUCCUGGCAACGGCCAUUCUGCCUUCUGUCUGCAGGAACAGGACUGCUCUAAGGAUUGCAAAAAAGUGGAAUCAUACAGCAUUUGUCUUUUUGCGGAAGCAAAACAUUUUCUUUUCUUUUCUUUUUUUUAAGAUUUUAUUUAUUUAUUUGACAGAGAGAGAUUACAAGUAGGCAGAGAGGCAGGCAGAGAGAGAGGAGGAAACAGGCUCCCUGCUGAGCAGAGAGCCCGAUGCGAGACUCGAUCCCAGGACCCGAAGGCAGCGGCUUCACCCACUGAGCCACCCAGGCGCCCCAGCAAAACAUUUUCAAGUUUAUUUCUUGACGUCAUCUCUACACCCUACGUGGGGCUCGAACUCCUGACCCCGGAGAUCAAGCGUCACACACUCCCGUGACAGAGCCGGCCCCGUGCCCCUGGGAGCACGGUGUUUUCAACCAUACCUUCGUCCCACCGGAGGCACAGCCAGUGAACAGCAAGAUCUGAAAGUUUGAACUUCACCAUGACGUAUGCAAAACACACUCACACACACACACACACACACACACACACACACACGCUGUAUAGAGCUGGGCUGAGUGGAACAGAGUCCGUCUGUGCGGGCCUGUUCCGCGGAACUGCCGCCGCCCCACGUUUUUCACCUGGAUGAGCAGAAGAGAAAAGUGUGCUUUUGGCAACUGACGAGGGUCAAGGUCUUUCGAGUUAUACAAGACCAGGCCUGCCGGGAGGCUUCUCAGGACGGAUCCUGGAACUGAAACCCGACAGGAAAACCGGUUGCAGAGGGAAGAGGGGGCCCCUCCGGGAUCAAGCCCAGGCCAGGUGUGGGCAGAGGGGCCUUGUGGGGUCGGAGCUCAGGCCUGGGAAUUUCACAAAAGGCUGGUCUGGUUCUGCAGGUUUGGCUUUGAGGAUCUGAUCCUGGGCCUCCCCGUGUUAUCUGCGCUUCCCAUGCCAACCUGGCCCAGGGUCAAGGUAGGCUAGGUCCUGGAGGAGCCGGGGAGCAGGUGCCCUGAGGACUUCGGCAGGAAGCCCGUCAGCAACCGCUCCUUACUGUCUCCGUGCGGAAAAACAGUGUUAUUACUUGACGAAAUGUUCUGGAAACUGCUCUGCGGUGGAAGGCCUUGCUGGUUGCCCCGGUGGUGGCAAGGCCAGAUGGGGGCCCAGCGCAGGCUGGGGCAGCUGGGUGACCCCCACUGCCAGGGGACAGGUGGCCCGACCUGUGGCUUCGCGCAUGUUCCUAAGAUGCGGAACGCAGGCGGGGAAGGCCCUCCCUGAGGCGUCAAGCACUGUUCUUCCCCUCUCUUUUGUUGCUGUGCAAUUGGUCUCGAGAGCGCGACCUUUUC